GUUAAUAUGUUAAUAUAUUGUGUUAAUAUGUUAGUUAGUUAAUGUGUUAUUGUGUUAAUAUGUUAAAAAGCUAGUGUUAAUAAGUUAAUAAGUUAACAAGUUAAGGUGUUCAUAUGUUAAUAAGUUAAGGUGUUAAUAUGUUAAUAAGUUAAUGUGUUAGUAUAUUAAUGUGUUGUGUUAAUAUGUUAAUGUGUUAAUUAGUUCAUUUGUUAUUGUGUUAAUGUGUUCUUGUGAGUUCAGUAUCUUUAACGAUUUCACAGGUUUGUAAAUGACAGCAUUUAUAGCCUUAACAAGAAUCCUGUUAAUUGUAAAGUGUGUCAGGGUGCACAUACUUUUGGACAUGUUGUGUACAAACAUUCAGGAUGCAGACAGGUGACACACAUGGAAUGUAACGUGACUUCAUAUAUAUGGGACAUUUAAAGAUGGAUUAUUAUUGUGCCUUGUUUGAAGAUACAGCUUUGUAUGGUGAGGAAAGUGUUUUAUUACGACUGCAAAGUCAAUGCUGAAAGUCAGAGGUGGAUCAUUAGUCCGUUUCUUUUGUCCUGUACAGUUUUUGCUGAUCUUUAUUCUAGGGCUUUUAGACUACUUGAAAAAUAAUUUCAUCUUAGACCUUUCCACAUGCUGGAAUGAUUUCCAUCUUGAUUAUGUGAAACCGACACUCACACUGCACACACUAGACAGAAAUGACACACCUGCACACACAUAAUUCAAUCUCAUGCUUUAAUGCAUAGAUUUCAAUUCCUCAUCAGUAAUCUGUUAUAGUAAGGAAGUAAAAAAACGAUGGUGGAGCUUCACUAACUGUCCAUCAUCUGAACAGACUCCUCCACCGUGUCUAGAGCGAGCGGCGUGAUCGUCUUCGUCAGAACUGGUGUCGUUCCUUGCUUGUAGCUGUAGUCGCCUUUCCUGGAGCAGAGAAUGUGGAACACAGAGAAGGAGUCAGCUGAGUGGAAAUCAGACAGAUGAGGAAUCACAUCAUGGUGCUGAUCAUAAUAUGUAAGAAAUAUUUAAUCAGUCGUUCCCUCUGGAGCCUCUUUUUAAUCUCUCUCUUCAAGUUAAUAAGACAAAAUUUCUGCAGUUUAUGUCACUGAGAAACGGCAAAGAAGCCUAAACUGUUCUGUCGAAAACUCUCAGCUUCAGCUCUGACUGUUACUGUCAUGUUAUCUGUCCUUACUGCACACUACGCCUUCUGGUCCUUACUCUUCAGUGUGCAUGUAUUUUACCUGUAGUCGUGUCUCCACCCCUGUAUUGUCAUUAUUGUGUUCAGGUUUUUCCAUGAUGCAGUGUUCCAUGUUCAUCCAUGUUCUUUGUUUGAUUUCCCAGUUUUCUGACGUCUUAUUGUGUGAUUUGUGAAUACAAACGUUCCUCUGUU